rnacentral:rRNA from 1 species
UACAGAGGUCUCGAGCGUUGUUCGGAUUCAUUGGGCGUAAAGGGUGCGUAGGUGGCAAGGUAAGUCGGAUGUGAAAUCCCGGGGCUCAACCCCGGAACUGCAUUCGAUACUGCCUGGCUAGAGUACUGGAGAGGAGAUUGGAAUUUACGGUGUAGCAGUGAAAUGCGUAGAUAUCGUAAGGAAGACCAGUGGCGAAGGCGGAUCUCUGGACAGUUACUGACACUGAGGCACGAAGGCCAGGGGAGCAAACGGG